rnacentral:rRNA from 3 species
UACGAAGGGGGCUAGCGUUGCUCGGAUUUACUGGGCGUAAAGGGCGCGUAGGCGGACAGUUUAGUCAGAGGUGAAAGCCCGGGGCUCAACCUCGGAAUUGCCUUUGAUACUGGCUGUCUUGAGUACGGGAGAGGUGUGUGGAACUCCGAGUGUAGAGGUGAAAUUCGUAGAUAUUCGGAAGAACACCAGUGGCGAAGGCGACACACUGGCCCGUUACUGACGCUGAGGCGCGAAAGCGUGGGGAGCAAACAGG